GAGACUAUACUUUCAGGGAUCAUUUCUAUAGGCUUUGCCUUGAGAAAUGUGUUUCCAGAGUGUAUAGUCUCGCUAACCACAAUGAUGAGUUGUGAUAUUCUCUUUUGAGCAUGAAGUUGAUGACAAAGUGUUGUGCUGUUUCAUUAUUGAUGAUUGCUUAUUGCUCUACUUUGGAGCAGUAAGAGAGAGAAUAUGAUCAGAGUGGU
ensembl:snoRNA U3 Small nucleolar RNA U3